CUUUGUUUUACGCAACUAAAGUCUUGUUCAACUCUGCAUCAGGCACGAACAACAUGAAACAAGAAUGCCUCAAACAGCAGGUUCCAAACUGAAAGCUUAGCUGAAAGGAAGCUGACCAUCGCUGCUGCCAACCAAUCAAGGCUAAAAGUAUACAUCGGAACACAUACCACGUGUGAAAAAACCCCAAGUGACACACUCAUAGUGGGAAUGCGACAUUAGCAGGAAGACGAAAGGAGGCGCAGAGCAUGUAUUUUCCUGGAGCCACAAGUCGAACUCGAUGGAUGUGAAUUGGGUGAGGCAUUUCCCCCAGAACAUCAGCUAUUCUCUGUAUGAACAUUGCAAGUCACAUGAUCCAUCAGAAAAAGAGUGCCGGAUCACGCGUGCAAAAAUAAAUUCGUUGUUCUAUGGAUUGGCAGACAAGGUUCAUCACAUGGAGUACUCAUACAGGUGCAUGAAUGCUGAGUUAAAACAAUUAAUUUCUUUAAGGUCAGAGAAUGCAGGGGAUGACGAACCUCAGAGUAUUCAGCCUCGGGAUCUUUGGCUUUAGAGAAACCGUAGACAUGGAUGUGGGGCAGAGUGUGUCUCUCCCAAACGUCCCUUGAGAAGGCGUGGACGAACACAUCU